CACCAUUCAAGUACUUAGGCAAAUUGUGAAGGUGCAGCCAAGCGCAAUGCUUCUCACACACGAGACUGGGCCAAGACUGAACCUUUAACCUGAAAUGGCUUUCUACAGAGUUCUCUGGGGCUGGAAGGUGGACCCAAUAUCUGGAACACUGCCGUCCCUUCCAGGGCUUUGAGCCUAAGACGUGGUGUCAGAGUGAACCCCGUGGGCUCCCUUCCACCUCAUGCAGGACGCAUCUCAUGAAGGCUGCAUUUCCUGUAACCCACCCAUGGACCCCCGAUCCUCGGACUACAGCUGCCCAGAGGAACUGAAACAAAGUGAAUCACAGAGGGAAACAAAGUGAAUCACCGAAGGCAGGUGGAGAGUUACAUUUUGUACUGCAAGACCAAAAGGGGCCUUCUAGCAAAUGUUCGUGUUGCUUUGCUACGGAUUUUUCUUUUGGCUUCUAAACUCUUCAAAAUAGAGUUCCAUUAAUAAUGUAAACGGAUAUAAGGACAGUGAGAGCUAUCAGUUAUUUAGUAUGUACUGGAUACCUUUUUUAAAAAAAUGUAAUUUCA